AAACCAAGUUGCCGGUGCACAUGACGAAAGCCACGGAACCCGCAGUCACGCCGAGCACCUGAUCCCUCUCCAGGCCGGGCUGUGGCGAUUGAUCUUUCACAUGGAACACGAACAUCUAAGAAUUAUUAGUUGUAUCUACAAUUCUACACAGAUGAGAUGAUGAGAUUUCAAUAUGUGCAAAGUAGUGACCAAAAGAAGAUUGCUGGUACUAUAAAUUAAUUUAAAAGUACAAACCUUGUGGUCGGGGAGUCAUCGACGGGAGUGGCAGGGACGGCAGUAGCGGCGGUGCCGUAGGUGUUGCUCGGGCUCGAGCUCGACAGCCCCGCCAUUAAGGUUGUGAGGCACCUCAUGCACUCGCUGGCGUUGAGGUC
rnacentral:lncRNA from 1 species